GGCUGGUUCAUAGAUGGGCGGGGAAGAGCCGGGUUGCUCUUGUCCGCUGAGAAUGAUUCAUAGAGGAGGGUCAGGAAAGAACGGUUCAGUCUGUGAAAGCCCCCUUAAAAGACUGGACACUCCUCCGAGGGAGGGAGAGGCAGGAGAGCAAGCAGGACCUUGGGCCUGACUCCGCCUCGGUCCGCUAGCCAGGCCUCGACCAAGUCCUGGGCCUUGUCCGGGGUGGCCCGUGAGGCGCCGGUUGCUGGGGGAGCGGUGACGUCGCGGGGUGAAAGUUGAGGGGCGGUGACGUCGGGCCGGCCCGGGCGGAGGCUGGCGGGUUGGAGGCAGGAGGGAGGGAGGGAAGGAGGGAAGGAAGGAAGCUGGGAAGGAGCGAGCGGGGGCGCGAGGCGUUUACCUGGAGGCAGCGGCUUGGGCGCGCAGAGCGGCCGCGGCUCCCCCGCACCUGCGGCCAUGGAUGAGGAGCGCGCCCUCUACAUCGUCCGGGCCGGCGAAGCGGGGGCUAUCGAGCGGGUCCUGAGGGAUUACAGCGACAAGCAUAGGGCUACUUUCAAAUUUGAAUCAACAGAUGAAGAUAAAAGAAAGAAACUCUGUGAAGGCAUAUUUAAAGUCCUAAUAAAGGACAUCCCAACAACAUGUCAAGUGUCGUGCCUGGAAGUACUCCGCAUUCUCUCCAGAGACAAAAAGGUUUUAGUUCCUGUAACAACUAAGGAAAAUAUGCAGAUACUGCUGCGACUAGCCAAACUAAAUGAGUUAGAUGAUUCUUUGGAGAAAGUAUCAGAGUUCCCAGUUAUUGUGGAGUCAUUAAAAUGUCUGUGUAAUAUAGUGUUCAACAGUCAGAUGGCACAGCAGCUCAGCCUGGAACUUAAUCUUGCUGCAAAGCUCUGUAAUCUCCUGAGAAAGUGCAAGGACCGGAAAUUUAUCAAUGACAUUAAGUGCUUUGACUUGCGCUUGCUCUUCCUUCUGUCACUUUUGCACACCGACAUCAGGUCACAAUUGCGCUAUGAGCUCCAGGGACUACCGCUGCUAACCCAGAUCUUGGAAAGUGCCUUUAGCAUCAAGUGGACCGAUGAGUAUGAAUCGGCCAUAGACCAUAAUGGACCUCCUCUCUCACCUCAGGAGACGGACUGUGCCAUUGAGGCCCUCAAAGCUCUCUUCAAUGUGACAGUAGACAGUUGGAAGGUGCAUAAAGAGAGUGAUUCUCAUCAGUUCCGUGUAAUGGCAGCUGUCCUUCGUCAUUGUUUACUAAUCGUAGGUCCAACUGAAGACAAAACAGAAGAGCUACACAGCAAUGCAGUCAACCUUUUAAGCAAUGUUCCGGUCUCUUGUUUGGAUGUUCUCAUUUGUCCAUUAACCCAUGAAGAAACAGCCCAAGAGGCAACGACUCUAGAUGAACUGCCCAGUAAUAAAACAGCUGAGAAAGAAACAGUUUUGAAAAACAAUACCAUGGUAUACAAUGGUAUGAAUAUGGAGGCCAUUCAUGUUUUACUCAAUUUUAUGGAGAAGAGAAUAGACAAGGGAAGCAGCUAUAGAGAGGGUCUAACUCCAGUUCUCAGCUUAUUAACCGAAUGUUCCCGAGCCCAUCGAAACAUCCGAAAAUUUCUCAAAGAUCAGGUUUUACCACCGUUGAGGGAUGUGACAAAUCGACCUGAAGUUGGCUCAACUGUGAGAAAUAAGCUGGUGCGCCUCAUGACACAUGUUGACCUUGGAGUCAAGCAAAUUGCUGCUGAAUUCCUUUUUGUCCUUUGCAAAGAGAGAGUGGAUAGUCUGCUGAAAUACACUGGCUAUGGGAAUGCUGCAGGACUGUUGGCGGCCAGGGGCCUCUUGGCUGGAGGAAGAGGAGAUAAUUGGUACUCAGAGGACGAGGACACAGACACUGAAGAAUACAAAAAUGCAAAACCAAACAUUAAUCUUAUCACUGGUCAUUUAGAGGAACCAAUGCCAAACCCCAUAGAUGAAAUGACAGAAGAACAAAAAGAAUAUGAAGCCAUGAAACUUGUCAACAUGCUUGAUAAACUUUCCAGGAGAGCAGAUGUGAAGGACCUGCACCAGGAUGGUGGUUAGCAACAGUGGCCCGUGCCAAAGCACUUACCAAAGUGAUGAUGACUAAGGUUGGUCAUGCCAGACCCUGUCAUUAAUUCCAUGUGUCAAUACUGCCCUGUAGUACACAGAGCAGACAAGAAAGAAGAGCCCUUGAAAACAAGGGAAUGAUUUUUGAGUCGUUAUCAAGCUAAGUGGCAAGCGGGAAGCUGAAACUCGUAUAGUUGAACAUUCUUGGAGGCUUAUCUCUUCCCUGGCCAGAUGCCUGAUCAGAUGAGAAGCCCGCCAUGAUACUGUCACAGUGCCUAGAAUGGGCUCUUUAUCCAGUAGACAUCACUGUACUUUUUGAUACGAGGGCAGUCUUAACUUGUGUUAAGGCCUGUGUGUAGCGUUGAAGAGAGGAGUUGCUUAAACCAAUGGGACUAAAACCUGAUGGGACAAUAACGCCUUUGGAGGAAGCACUCAACCAGUAUUCUGUCAUCGAAGAGACCAGCUCUGACACAGACUAAAAGCAUCACCUGCUCAACUCUCAAUAUUGCUUUAUCAGCAUCUUUUCUCUGUAGCUCCAGGGGAAUCUUUUCUCUAAAACAUUUAUGCCCUUGCUUUGGCUAGAAACACAUUAACUGGUUUACUCAUUGAGAAUCCAGCAUAUUUAAGAGGUGACCCUGUGUUUUUUGCGAUAUUGAGGCAUUCAUACAGAGCUGCAGUUAGACAGGGUUACAGGGGCUAGAAGCAGAAAAAAAAAUCCAUUUCAUCAGGAUGGAAUUGAAGGAUUUUAUUCUACAAAGCAGCCCUGGGUGAAUCUGGCAAUUCUUUUUGCCAAGAUUCUUAGCAGAAGAUUUAGCCAUGUCCUUCCCCUCACUUGUGUGAGUGGCCCCUUCUGAAUCUCUCCAGCAGCCAGAGGCACAUGAGAAACAGAAUGAGCUGGUAAAUAAAGCCUUGGGCGAGCGACUUCUUAGAUCAGAACUCACCAAAUGGAAGCCUAGCAGCUGCUCCAUAAACCUAGCCCCAUUCUUCAUAUCAGUUUUGUAUAAAUAUAUGGAAACACACACACAGCCUCAGACUUACAAACUGAUGAUACUCUAAAAGUUUGUAUGUCACUUAGCUAAACCCAGAAUACAUGUCUCCCUAUGAAGAGUUAUAAAUGAUGGUUUAGUUCUCAGGCAGCUACAAAUGCCUAUUUAUUCCCUAAUGUACCUGAACACUAGUACCAUAGAACUGAACCACCAUCUGUAUCAGUGCAUGGGGAGUGUGCAUUCUGAGGCCUAACCCGGGGUGCCAGGAACACACACAUCCUCCAUCCCAGCAGAGAGAAUGGGGACUCCCUGAGUAAUGGAAGUUCUUUCGUGGCCUCUGCUUGGGGUGGGGGAGUCAGCAGCACCCAUUUGUACAUAUAGGUCAUUCAUACAUCACGUUUUAAAUUGGGAACUGUGUGUGUGCUGGUGUGUGUGUGUGUUCUACGUUUCUACCAUAUGUGAUCAGUUUAAUAGUAACUUUAUUUAUUUAAAAAAAGAAACACAAUUAGUUACUGUUAAACUGAUAAAGGCUGUUUAUUUUUACUUUUAGAAUUGGUCCUAUGGAGAAGUAGAAAGUGAGUCAUGCACUAGACAGUGGGCCUAGCUCAUCAGCGGCUAAAGUUGAAAAGGGGUUGGUUUCCUGUAUAUAUAUGUAUGUAUAUACACACGUACAUACAUUCAUAUAUAUACAUAUAUACAUAAUGUGCUUAACCACUGCCUUUUAAAACUUUAAAUAAAACAUUGGGGUUGAUUCAAUUUGGCCAUCUGUGUGUGUUUCUUUAUAGAUACAUGGGCUAAACAAUACUAUUUCACAGUUUAUGCUUUUUAAAGUGCUUUUACAUCCAUUGUCCCACUUCUAAUAGCCUUUUUAAGGACAGGUAAAGUACAUGGAGUAUUAUGAAAAGGUCAUUUACCAUAGGUUACCUCUCUGGCAAAGCAAAAAACUCGGGAAUUGAGUUGUAAAAGGCCUUUCAGCUGCCAGAAGAGAUGUCACAAAGCUUCUUGCGACUUACUUAUGGGAGAGAUCUUCACGAAUAUCACUCUUAGACUCUGAACUGAAAUUUGCAUAUGCUUCCAACAUGUUUUAUUAGCUGGCUUUCAAGCUCACAAAAAAUGUCAAAGAAAGAGGCUGCUAGAUUGAAGGCAGUCAUACUGAAAGAAGAGAAAGGCCAACUGAAAACUAGAUAGUGAGAUGAGAAGAAUAAAACUUCAAGACGGAGCAAAUCUGGGACUAUCUCCUUACCAAAGGAUACUCUAGUUGACCCAGAAAAUGUGUGUAUUAACAAUAUGGCCCAUAGACUAAUUCUCGUAUUGGUGACCCUGAGUUUUUUUAAAAGAAGAAAUUAAAUCCAGAAUGCUUUAUAAAAGGCUAGGAAGAAGAUAAUACAUGUUAGAAUUUCAUCCAAAAUAUCUGAGGGAGAGGCGAGUGAGUGACCCAGGUUUUAACCAACAGCAAAAGAAAUGGGCAAUUCAUAAUUUUAGAUUAAGUGAAAAAAAGUUUAGAAAAAAUUCAAGUAUUUUUGUUAUUUCAUUCUACAAAUGCAUUUUUAAAGUAUUUUUAUAAUUUCUAUAAUCAAAUAGCUUUGGCAUGCAUGUCAGCUUAACUAAAUGAAGAUGUGUUUAAUGAAAUGCCAUCUUACCAGCUUUCUUUAUGCAGAGUAAGUGUUUGAACAGUCCUGUUCCAGUAGCUGUGCUCUUCUGCUUUCAGUGAAUUGUUUCAUUUUGCAUUUCUCUGCACUGGGCACUAAGCUUUGUUUUUGAAAAGAGAGAAUUUGCGGGGAAGAAGAUGAGUGUCUUCAUCUGGCACAUGGAAAAAGAACUAAUAUCUGUUAAGUGCUUACUACAUGCUGGGCUUUUUAUGUAUGUUAUCUCGUGUAACCUCACCUUAUCGCAUAUGAAAGAUCCUCUCCAGAAAGCUUGUGAAAGUUACCCCACGUCACAGCAAGGAAGAGUCCAACUCUGGUGGCCUGAUUCCCAGCACCACUCCUUCCUUUUCCCCACAGCACACCUGGGCCCACACUGUGCCUCCUUAGGGCUCUGAAAUGCUGGGAACAGAGUGGGGUGAGGAGGGUGGUCAUUCUCAGGCCAUUUUAAGCAAUAACUAUUUCAACAGAACUAGUUUAAAGAAGUUUUUAAGCAGGGAAGUGACCUGGAAUGGAAGUAUGAGUGGGAAACUUGUAUGGUCAGCACUGGAUUUCCAAUGACCUGGAAUCCGUUAGGAUAGGCCAGGGACCAAGGCUGCAGACUGGCCCCUCUGCCCACAACUCUCCUGACCUUGGAAGCAGGGUACGGAGGUGUGUGUCCUAAAAUAAAGCAUUGGAGCUGCUGCUACAGAGGAACCAUCACCAGAUAUUGUUACCCUUUCAGAUGCCCAGUAGUCCUGGGAGGCAGGCAGGGCAGGUGUUAUUAUCCCUCCUUAAUAAAUGAGGACACAGACUGAGGCAGUACUAGUGACUCUAAACACCCCCUUAGUGCCACAUCAGUCUCGCCACCUCCCAGGACUAGGUGUCACCUGUCUUGACCUCUUCCCCUCUGAUUAUAAAAGUAAUAUAUGUUCAUUGUGUAAAGUUUGGAAAAUGCAGAAAAUUAAUAAUUUACCCCAAAUCCCACCAAACUGAGAUCAUCACUGUUAAUGUUUUAGUGUAUUUCCUUCCUGUAUUUUUUCUAUGCAUAUAUAAUUUAUUUUACUACAAGAUUGGGAUCAUGCUGUAUUUACAGAUUUGUAUCCUGCUUUCUUUAACAUAUUGUGAGCAUUUUCCCAUGUCAAUAAAUAUUCUUCAAAAA